CUGUGAUUUGCUGUAGAUCAUCACCUAAACAAAAAGCAUUGGUUACACGGUUGGUUAAAUCCGGAACUGGAAAGACAACCUUAGCAAUUGGCGAUGGAGCAAACGAUGUAGGAAUGCUUCAAGAAGCAGACAUUGGUGUUGGUAUUAGCGGUGUUGAAGGAAUGCAAGCAGUGAUGUCUAGUGAUAUCGCCAUUGCGCAAUUCCGAUAUCUAGAACGUUUAUUGUUAGUCCAUGGUCAUUGGUGUUACAGCAGAAUCGCAUCCAUGAUUUGUUACUUCUUUUACAAGAACAUCACAUUCGGAGUCACAGUGUUCUUAUAUGAAGCUUACACUUCCUU